rnacentral:rRNA from 1 species
GAUGAACGCUAGCUACAGGCUUAACACAUGCAAGUCGAGGGGAAACGGGAGAAUAGCUUGCUAUUCUUUGUCGUCGACCGGCGCACGGGUGAGUAACGCGUAUCCAACCUUCCCAUAACUAAGGAAUACCCCGUAGAAAUGCGGCCUAAUCCCUUAUGGUCUCUUAUGCCUGACAUCGGAAUAAGAGUAAAGAUUUAUCGGUUAUGGAUGGGGAUGCGUCUGAUUAGCUUGCUGGCGGGGUAACGGCCCACCAGGGCAUCGAUCAGUAGGGGUUCUGAGAGGAAGGUCCCCCACAUUGGAACUGAGACACGGUCCAAACUCCUACGGGAGGCAGCAGUGAGGAAUAUUGGUCAAUGGGCGGAAGCCUGAACCAGCCAAGUAGCGUGCAGGAUGACGGCCCUAUGGGUUGUAAACUGCUUUUUAAGGGGAAUAAAGAGGGGCACGCGUGCCCUNUUGCANGU